AGGACGAACGCUGGCGGCGCGCUUAACACAUGCAAGUCGAGCGAGAACCAGGGCUUCGGCUCUGGGGACAGCGGCGAACGGGUGAGUAACACGUGAGUAAUCUGCCCUCGACACUGGGAUAGCCCGGGGAAACCCGGAUUAAUACCGGAUAGCCUUUCGAGCUCUCGGGCUCGUCAGAAAAGGAUGGCUUCGGCUUUCGGUUGAGGAUGAGCUUGCGGCGGAUUAGCUUGUUGGUGAGGUAACGGCUCACCAAGGCGACAAUCCGUAGCUGGUCUGAGAGGACGAUCAGCCACACUGGGACUGAGACACGGCCCAGACCUCGUACGGG
rnacentral:rRNA from 1 species